UGAAAAAAUAGAGUGUUCAAAGCAGGCCUAUGCCCGAAUACAUUAGCAUGGAAUAAUAGAAUAGGACGUGUGGUUCUAUUUUGUUGGUUUCUAGGACCGCCGUAAUGAUUAAUAGGGAUAGUCGGGGGCAUCAGUAUUCAAUCGUCAGAGGUGAAAUUCUUGGAUUGAUUGAAGACUAACUACUGCGAAAGCAUUUGCCAAGGAUGUUUUCAUUGAUCAAGAACGAAAGUUAGGGGAUCGAAGACGAUCAGAUACCGUCGUAGUCUUAACCAUAAACUAUGCCGACUAGGGAUCGGACGGUGUUAGUAUUUUGACCCGUUCGGCACCUUACGAGAAAUCAAAGUUUUUGGGUUCUGGGGGGAGUAUGGUCGCAAGGCUGAA
rnacentral:rRNA from 15 species